GGCCAAGCUAGUAAGGGCGUACGGUGGAUGCCUUGGCGUCAAAGGCGAUGAAGGACGUGGUAAGCUGCGAUAAGCUUCGGGGAGCCGCAAACAGGCUUUAAUCCGGAGAUUUCCGAAUGGGGAAACCCUCAUCGAUUAAUAUCGAUGAACUUAUAUCUGAAUACAUAGGAUAUAAGGGCGAACCGAGAGAAUUGAAACAUCUUAGUAACUCGAGGAAAAGAAAACAAUAGUGAUUCCCUAAGUAGUGGCGAGCGAACGGGGAACAGUCUAAACCUUAUAUGUGUAAGCCUGUGCGCGUUGCAUAUAAGGUGUUGUAGGGUUUUACCAGAUUCUUGUACAGAAGGAUCGAAGAGUCAAAAAAUCAUGUUUUAGUUGAAUAGCCUGGAAAGGUUAACCGUAGAGGGUGAAAGUCCCGUAAACGAAAAGGCAUGAUCUCUUUGGGUAGAAUACCUAAGUACCGCGGGACACGUGAAACCCUGCGGGAAGCAACCACGACCAUGUGGUAAGACUAAAUACUAAUUGACGACCGAUAGUGAACUAGUACCGUGAGGGAAAGGUGAAAAGAACUCCUGUUAGGAGAGUGAAAUAGUACCUGAAACCGUAUGCCUACAAGGUGUAGGAGGGCUAUGCUCCGAUUUAUCGGAGAAUGCCUGACUGCGUGCCUUUUGCAUAAUGAUCCGACGAGUUACUGUAUGCAGCAAGGUUAAUUACGAUAUGCAAGUGUCGUUUGGAGCCGUAGCGAAAGCGAGUGCGAAGUGUGCGUUUAGUUGCAUGUAGUAGACCCGAAGCCGAGUGAUCUACCCAUGGUCAGGGUGAAGUCUCGGUAACACGAGAUGGAGGCCCGAACCUUUGCAGGUUGAAAACUGCCUGGAUGAACUGUGGGUCGGAGCGAAAGACUAAUCAAACUCGGCGAUAGCUGGUUCUCCUCGAAAUAGCUUUAGGGCUAGCCUCAUGUAAUAGUUAGCAGGGGUAAAGUACUGGAUGGGUUAGGGAUCUUACCAGAUUACCAAAACCAACCAAACUCUGAAUACUGUUAACCGUAUCAUGGGAGUCAGACUGCGGGGGAUAAGCUUCGUAGUCAAAAGGGAAACAGCCCAGACCGACAGCUAAAGACCUUAAAUAUGGACUAAGUGGUAAAGGAUGUGGAAUUGCACAAACAGUUAGGAUGUUGGCUUAGAGGCAGCCAUCAUUUAAAGAGUGCGUAAUAGCUCACUAAUCGAGCGAUUCUGCGCCAAUAAUAAUUGGGACUAAGUUCAUUUCUGAAGCUUCGGAUUUAAAAUAGAUUUAUCUAUUAUUAAGUGGUAGAGGAGCAUUCUAUACUGGUAGAAGCCAGACCGUAAGGACUGGUGGACGGUAUAGAAGUGAUCAUGUCGGAAUGAGUAGCGAUAAGAACAGUGAGAAUCUGUUCCGCCGUAAAACCAAGGUUUCCUGGGGAAGGUUCGUCCGCCCAGGGUUAGUCGAUCCCUAAGUCGAGGCCGAGAGGCGUAGACGAUGGACAAUCCGUUAAUAUUCGGAUACUACCUUGAAAAUGCUUGAACAAUGGAGUGACGCAGUAGGCUAGGUGAUCGUGCGAUUGGAAGUGCACGUUUAAACUGGUAGGGGGGUGGCUUAGGCAAAUCCGGGCCGCUAUUAAACCCUGAGAGGUGAUGUCGAGUUCCUUUAUGGAGCGAAGUCACUGACGCCACACUGUCAAGAAAAACUUCUAGUUAGUUUUCAGGGUAUUCGUACCGCAAACCGACACAGGUGGUUGAGGAGAGAAUCCUAAGGCGCGCGAGAGAAUCCUCGUUAAGGAACUCAGCAUAUUAGCCCCGUAACUUCGGGAGAAGGGGUGUCCCGGUUAGUAAGAUCUUUUACAGAUCAAGCUUCUCGGGAUCUCAGUAAAGUGGCUCAGGCGACUGUUUACUAAAAACAUAGGUCUAUGCCAAGCCGUAAGGCGAUGUAUAUAGACUGACACGUGACCAAUGCCGAAAGGUUAAGGCAAGGGGUUAGCCGCAAGGCGAAGCUCUGAACCGAAGCCCCGGUGAAUGUCGGCCGUAACUAUAACGGUCCUAAGGUAGCGAAAUUCCUUGUCGGGUAAGUUCCGACCUGCACGAAUCGUGUAACGAUUUGAGCGCUGUCUCAACGAGGAACUCGGCGAAAUUGUAGUACCUGUGAAGAUACAGGUUUCCCGCGAUUAGACGGAAAGACCCCGUGAACCUUUACUGUAUCCUGAUAUUGGAUUUUGAUUCGUUAUGUGUAGGAUAGGUGGGAGGCGUUGAAACCCUGGCGUUAGUUGGGGUGGAGCCGAAAGUGAAAUACCACUCUUAUCGUAUUGAGUUUCUAACUUCGUGCUGUGAAUCCAGGCGAAGAACAGUGUCAGGUGGGCAGUUUGACUGGGGCGGUCUCCUCCUAAAGAGUAACGGAGGAGUUCAAAGGCUUUCUCAGCACGGUCGGCAAUCGUGCGUAGAGCGUAAAGGUAUAAGAAAGCUUAACUGCGAGUCCUACAAGACGAGCAGGUGUGAAAGCAGGACUUAGUGAUCCGGCGGUUUCUGAAUGGAAAGGCCGUCGCUCAUCGGACAAAAGGUACUCCGGGGAUAACAGGCUGAUCGCUCCCAAGAGUUCAUAUCGACGGAGCGGGUUGGCACCUCGAUGUCGGCUCAUCGCAUCCUGGGGCUGGAGAAGGUCCCAAGGGUUUGGCUGUUCGCCAAUUAAAGCGGUACGCGAGCUGGGUUUAGAACGUCGUGAGACAGUUCGGUCCCUAUCUAUCGUGGGCGUAGGAUAUUUGAGAAGAGCAGUCCCUACUACGAGAGGACCGGGAUUGACAAACCAAUGGUGUUCCUGUUGUCUUGCCAAAGGCAUUGCAGGGUAGCUAUGUUUGGAAAGGAUAAGCGCUGAAUGCAUCUAAGUGCCAAGCCUCCUUCAAGACUAGAUAUCACUUGCGUAAGCAACUAAAGGCAAUUCGAAGACUACGAAUUUGAUAGGCCAGGUGUGUAAGCACUGUAAAGUGUUAAGCUAACUGGUACUAAUAAGCCGUGAGGCUUGGCCAU
rnacentral:rRNA from 1 species